GUGGGGAAUAUUGGACAAUGGGCGCAAGCCUGAUCCAGCCAUGCCGCGUGAGUGAUGAAGGCCUUAGGGUUGUAAAGCUCUUUCACCGAUGAAGAUAAUGACGGUAGUCGGAGAAGAAGCCCCGGCUAACUUCGUGCCAGCAGCCGCGGUAAUACGAAGGGGGCUAGCGUUGUUCGGAUUUACUGGGCGUAAAGCGCACGUAGGCGGUUUGUUAAGUCAGAGGUGAAAUCCCGGAGCUCAACUCCGGAACUGCCUUUGAUACUGGCAAGCUAGAGUCCGGAAGAGGUAAGUGGAACUCCUAGUGUAGAGGUGGAAUUCGUAGAUAUUAGGAAGAACACCAGUGGCGAAGGCGGCUUACUGGUCCGGAACUGACGCUGAGGUGCGAAAGCGUGGGGAGCAAACAGGAUUAGAAACCCUAGUAGUCC
rnacentral:rRNA from 1 species